AAAAAAUGUGAAGAAGGUAAUGAAUGUCCAAUGCUCAGCCAUUACUGUAGUAAUCAUCGAUGUAGAUCAACAGCUGUACUAUGCAGUGGAGUAGACGGGUGUGGAGAUAAUAGUGAUGAAACCAAUUGUGAAGUCUGUUACUGCCAGAAGCCAUAAUAUGGAAAGUGUGAAUUUUUACUUUAUGUUCCUUUUAAGUUAUUUUAUGACGUUCAGUAAAAGAUAAUUUAUUUUCUUAGUGUUCCUAUUUAACCUUUUCAUUUAUAAUGGUGUAAUGUCUUAAAUGAUAACUUGACUGUUGGAAUUGUAUAUGAAGUUUCAAUACUGUAAAUAGCCAAAAUAUUUCAUUGUGGAGAUUUGUGCCUCAUGUUUAUUAUAAAUUAUGAAAUUUCAUGUACCACUGUGCCAAUUUAAUGUAUCUUUAUGCAACUUAUACUAAUAAAAAAUAUUUUAACAAAAAUGACUAUUUUCAGAAUUC